rnacentral:rRNA from 1 species
GACGAACGCUGGCGGCGUGCUUAACACAUGCAAGUCGAACGGAAAGGCCCUGCUUUUGUGGGGUGCUCGAGUGGCGAACGGGUGAGUAACACGUGAGUAACCUGCCCUUGACUUUGGGAUAACUUCAGGAAACUGGGGCUAAUACCGGAUAGGAGCUCCUGCUGCAUGGUGGGGGUUGGAAAGUUUCGGCGGUUGGGGAUGGCCUCGCGGCUUAUCAGCUUGUUGGUGGGGUAGUGGCUUACCAAGGCUUUGAAGGGUAGCCGGCCUGAGCGGGUGACCGGCCACAUUGGGACUGAGAUACGGCCCAGACUCCUACGGGAGGCAGCAGUGGGGAAUAUUGCACAAUGGGCGGAAGCCUGAUGCAGCAACGCCGCGUGCGGGAUGACGGCCUUCGGGUUGUAAACCGCUUUCGCCUGUGACGAAGCGUGAGUGACGGUAAUGGGUAAAGAAGCACCGGCUAACUACGUG